rnacentral:rRNA from 1 species
UACGGGGGGUGCGAGCGUUGUCCGGAUUCACUGGGCGUAAAGGGCGCGUAGGCGGCCGCGUCAGUCGGGCCUGAAAGCCCGGGGCUCACCCCUGGGUCGGGGUCCGGGACGGCGGGGCUGGGGGGCGGCCGAGGGGUGCGGAAUGCCGGGUGUAGUGGUGAAAUGCGUAGAGAUCCGGCGGAACACCGGUGGCGCAGGCGGCGCCCUGGGCCGAGCCCGACGCUGAGGCGCGAGAGCGUGGGGAGCGAACCGG